rnacentral:lncRNA from 1 species
UUUCUUGGCUCGUUUCCAUUUUUGCUUACUUCAGCCUGUUUAUUAAACUGCUCAAUAAAUAUACGCAGUAAC